rnacentral:rRNA from 1 species
AGUGGCGAACGGGUGCGUAAUACGUGAGAAUCUGCCUUUAGGAGGAGUAUAACUGUUGGAAACGACUGCUAACACUCCAUAUGUCGAGAGAUGAAAUAAUUUAUUGCCUAAAGAUGAGCUCGCGCCUGAUUAGCUAGUUGGUGAGGUAAUGGCUCACCAAGGCCACGAUCAGUAGCUGGUUUGAGAGAACGAUCAGCCACACUGGGACUGAGACACGGCCCAGACUCCUCCGGGAGGCAGCAGUGAGGAAUUUUCCGCAAUGGGCGAAAGCCUGACGGAGCAAUACCGCGUGAGGGAUGAAGGAUUUUGGUCUGUAAACCUCUUUUCUCAAGAAAGAAGUUCUGACGGUACUUGAGGAAUAAGCAUCGGCUAACUCCGUGCCAGCAGCCGCGGUAAUACGGGGGAUGCAAGCGUUAUCCGGAAUCAUUGGGCGUAAAGCGCCUGUAGGUUGUUUAAUAAGUCUGUUGUUGAAGACUAGGGCUCAACCCUAGGAAAGCAAUGGAAACUACUAGACUUGAGUAUGGCAGGGGUAGAGGGAAUUUCUAGU